AUUGAACGCUGGCGGCAGGCCUAACACAUGCAAGUCGAACGAGUGGCGGACGGGUGAGUAAUGUCUCGGAAACUGCCUGAUGGAGGGGGAUAACUACUGGAAACGGUAUCUAAUACCGCAUACCAUCAGAUGUGCCCAUAUGGGAUUAGCUAGUUGGUGGGGUAAAGGCUCACCAAGGCGACGAUCCCUAGCUGGUAUGAGAGGAUGACCAGCCAGAAUAGCACUGAGACAAGGUCCAGACUCAUACGGGAGGCAGCGGUGGGGAAUCUUGCACAAUGGGCGAAAGCCUGAUGCAGCCAUGCCGGGUGUAUGAAGAAGGCCUUCGGGUUGGAAAGUACUUUCAGCGGGGAGGCGUUACCUGCAGAAGAAGCACCGGCUAACGCCGUGCCAGCAGCCGCGGUAAUAC
rnacentral:rRNA from 1 species